UACAGAGGUGGCAAGCGUUGUUCGGAAUUACUGGGCGUAAAGGGCGCGUAGGCGGCCUUCUAAGUCAGACGUGAAAUCCCCAGGCUUAACUUGGGAACUGCGUCUGAUACUGGAGGGCUUGAGUGCGGGAGAGGGAUGUGGAAUUCCAGGUGUAGCGGUGAAAUGCGUAGAUAUCUGGAGGAACACCGGUGGCGAAGGCGGCAUCCUGGACCGACACUGACGCUGAUGCGCGAAAGCCAGGGGAGCAAACGGG
rnacentral:rRNA from 1 species